rnacentral:tRNA from 2 species
GCGGGAGUAACUCAGUGGUAGAGUGCAACCUUGCCAAGGUUGAAGUCGCGAGUUCGACUCUCGUCUCCCGCU